rnacentral:rRNA from 1 species
ACGGGACGAACGCUGGCGGCGUGCUUAACACAUGCAAGUCGAACGGUGACCCAGGGCUUGCCCUGGUGAUCAGUGGCGAACGGGUGAGUAACACGUGGGCAACCUGCCCCUGACUUCGGGAUAACUCCUCGAAAGAGGAGCUAAUACCGGAUACGACCACUUCGGACAUCCGAUGGUGGUGGAAAGUUUUUCGGUCAGGGGAUGGGCCCGCGGCCUAUCAGCUAGUUGGUGGGGUAAUGGCCUACCAAGGCGACGACGGGUAGCCGGCCUGAGAGGGCGACCGGGCCACACUGGGACUGAGACACGGCCCAGACUCCUACGGGAGGCAGCAGUGGGGAAUAUUGCGCAAUGGGCGAAAGCCUGACGCAGCGACGCCGCGUGAGGGAUGAAGGCCUUCGGGUUGUAAACCUCUUUCAGCAGGGACGAAGCGAAAGUGACGGUACCUGCAGAAGAAGCACCGGCUAACUACGUG